GAUGAACGCUGGCGGCGUGCCUAAUACAUGCAAGUCGAGCGAACAGACGAGGAGCUUGCUCCUCUGACGUUAGCGGCGGACGGGUGAGUAACACGUGGAUAACCUACCUAUAAGACUGGGAUAACUUCGGGAAACCGGAGCUAAUACCGGAUAAUAUAUUGAACCGCAUGGUUCAAUAGUAAAAGACGGUUUUGCUGUCACUUAUAGAUGGAUCCGCGCCGCAUUAGCUAGUUGGUAAGGUAACGGCUUACCAAGGCAACGAUGCGUAGCCGACCUGAGAGGGUGAUCGGCCACACGGGAACUGAGACACGGUCCAGACUCCUACGGGAGGCAGCAGUAGGGAAUCUUCCGCAAUGGGCGAAAGCCUGACGGAGCAACGCCGCGUGAGUGAUGAAGGUCUUCGGAUCGUAAAACUCUGUUAUUAGGGAAGAACAAAUGUGUAAGUAACUAUGCACGUCUUGACGGUACCUAAUCAGAAAGCAACGGCUAACUACGUG
rnacentral:rRNA from 1 species